AACGAACGCUGGCGGCAUGCCUAACACAUGCAAGUCGAACGAACUCUUCGGAGUUAGUGGCGCACGGGUGCGUAACGCGUGGGAAUCUGCCCUUGGGUACGGAAUAACUCAGAGAAAUUUGUGCUAAUACCGUAUAAUGACUUCGGUCCAAAGAUUUAUCGCCCAAGGAUGAGCCCGCGUAAGAUUAGCUAGUUGGUGGGGUAAAAGCCUACCAAGGCGACGAUCUUUAGCUGGUCUGAGAGGAUGAUCAGCCACACUGGGACUGAGACACGGCCCAGACUCCUACGGGAGGCAGCAGUGGGGAAUAUUGGACAAUGGGCGAAAGCCUGAUCCAGCAAUGCCGCGUGAGUGAUGAAGGCCUUAGGGUUGUAAGCUCUUUUACCCGGGAUGAUAAUGACAGUACCGGGAGGAAUAAGCUCCGGCUAACUCCGUGCCAGCAGCCGCGGUAAU
rnacentral:rRNA from 1 species